rnacentral:rRNA from 1 species
UGUCCUUAUUUGCCAUCAUUAAGUUGGCACUCUAGGGAGACUCCCGGUGACAACCCGGAGGAAGGUGGGGACGACGUCAAGUCAUCAUGGCCCUUACGACCAGGGCUACACACGUGCUACAAUGGAGCGUACAAAGGGUUGCGACCUCGCGAGAGUGAGCUAAUCCCAUAAAACGUUUCGUAGUCCGGAUCGCAGUCUGCAACUCGACUGCGUGAAGUCGGAAUCGCUAGUAAUCGUGAAUCAGAAUGUCAUGGUGAAUACGUUC